rnacentral:tRNA from 1 species
AUGUCAAUACCGACAACAAUGAAAUUUAUAGUAAGAGGAAAAUCCGUCGA